UCCCAUCCCCAUCUGCCAUGGCCCCCUCCCCCCUCAUGGCCCUGACCCUGCUGACCCUUCUGACCCUCGCAGGGCUCCGGGCGGCCGUGACCCUGCAGGAGUCCGGGGGGGACCUCCAGCCCCCCGGGGGGUCCCUGACUCUGCUCUGCAACAGCUCCGGGUUCCCCCUGGGCAACCACGACAUGUUCUGGAUCCGCCAGCGCCCCGGCCAGGGGCUGCGCUUGGUCGCCCACAUCACCCACGACGGAGGCCAGGCCAUCUACGCGCCGUCGGUGCGGGGCCGGGCCAGGAUCUCCCGGGACAACGGGCAGGGCUCGGUGACGCUGACCAUGACCGACCUCCGGGACGAGGAUUCCGGAUCCUAUUUCUGUGCCCGGCGUCACAAACAUUGGGCAGCGGAUUUGGUUUUUAUUGACGGCGCCGGCAGCGGCCCCGCCCCCACCGUGCUCCCCGGGCCCUGA